AUGACCCCCCUUGACGGUCCCCGAAGGUGUGGGCAGCGCCGGGUUUCACUGAGUUAUUUCCCCCCCUCCCCUCCACCAAAAAAAUGGUGUCCUCUUGUGCAGUUAACCCACGGCGAGCGGGGGACAAAUAGACGCUACCCGGACGCUUUCCUCGACCGUGUGGUGCUGAAUCGGAGGCUACACGCUGCCGUCGGUGUCUCGGGAAAUGCCUCGUCUUCCUACACGCGCCUGCGAAAUACUGACCCCUCCCAGCGCUCCAACCACGACAACGGAGUGGGCAGGUGCAGAUCAGAAUAGGUUUUUUUGUGCUGAGUGCUGAGUAAUUUCCUUCAUUUCAUUCAUCCUACCUGAUGACCAACUUCUGUUAAACUGUCAGUGUUGUAGCGACAUUAAUUAUUCACUCGGAUGGACACGAUGGCCCCAGUCUACAAUAACUCACAGAAGAUCUUCAGGCGAAAAGUUACCUCAAAAAACUCAAAAUGCAAACGGUUCGAUGAGACUGCUUGGAAGCUCACAGAUGCUCCCUGACGGGUUAUUAGUCACACCUGAGCAUAUAUUAGUUCUCUGUGCUCCUUGUGUGACGUGAUUCUCAUUAACCCUGAAUGAUGGAAGGUUUAUCCCUUUUCAAGAGGGGUUUGGGCUCAGAAAAUACAAAGCAACACUGAGCUGACAUGCAGCCUUAGAGGACUAUUUUUGCCCACCGCUAGAUUCCCUGCAUUGAUGAGAAAGAGGAACAGCAUCGGGGAAUAGUAAUCAUUUAGAUUACAACUAAAAUAGUCAGUCCUCUCUGUACAUGCCCAUUAGAGAAAUAAGGUAGCUUUUAUGGUUAUUUAAAAAAUGAAAAAAAGACCCUUGCCAGUGCGGCACGUUUUGCAGUGUUUUACUAGAAAAUCAAGAGAGAAUUGGGUCAUUUUCUGAUAAUGCAGUUUUGCACCAGGUUGGCGCCUGGCCUUGAAUGAUCAUCUUGGGGGGAAGUCUGAUUCUAAGAGAAAAUGUCCUAUGCACUUUAUUGACUGAAUAAACAUUUGCCCAUGAGUGUUUGGGCUCAAUUGCUAGUUUAAAGUGUUCUUCAGCAUUGUUUAUUUUAUGAAAGACUGUGUUUUAGGGGAUAGCUAAACAAAAAUAACGUCUUCUUGGGUUUUCACUGCAUUUAUUGGACCAGCGAGAUGGUGACAGAAACAGGUUGGAGAGGAUGAGAUGCCGCAAAGGUCUACGUGUUACAAAUUACUCUUUACCAUUCGCCUCUACAUCUUGUGUGUCACAAGUACAACUGUGGCUUGUUUGCAUAGCAAUGCCCAUCUCCCCUCAGCUUCACCCUAACAUGCAAUUCUCUCGCCGGACAUGUUCAACCUACGGUUUCAAAAGGUCAGAACACAGACAAAUGUUUGUAGACGGAUGUAUGCGCGUCAAGAUCGAAGAUGCGUUAUCAAACACAGAAGCAGGAAUAGUUUUUUUCCUUUUUCUUUCACUCCGUCUUUAAGCAACAAGCAAACCAUAUUAUCUUUAUACAAACAGCGGCAUCCACUCAAACUUUAAACCUCAUUGAAAUAGCACAUUAUGAAAUUAUCACCCUGAUCAACAAAUACUAACGUCAUAUUGCAAUUAGUCUCACCAGGUGAUCAAUAACAACAAAGAACAGCUACUUGUGUGCUGACAGCAUUGUCUGGUAUGAUAGAUAGAGUUUAUCGACUGAACUUGCUCUGGCACCAGAGCUGUUGGCAGCGCAGCAACUCAGCUGGAUG
ensembl:lncRNA